CGAGGGCCGAUAUGGGUCGAGGGAUGAUACCAGGGCCAAUAUGGAAAAGGCCAUGUUAUAAUCUAUUUAUCACAUAUCUAAGUUCUGCAGAAUAGAGACACAAAGUUCAAUUAUUACAAUUUAAUGAAACAUAACAGGUAAAAUUUUAAAUUUUGUAUCACAAAAGUGUCGUUAAGGACGCAAUGAGGUGACGUCAUUUGGAAUCGGGGCACAAUAUCAAUAUCGUCUUUUUUGCCCCGGG
rnacentral:lncRNA from 1 species